rnacentral:rRNA from 1 species
CUUGAAACACGGACCAAGGAGUUUAUCGUGUACGCAAGUCAUUGGGUGAAUAAAACCCAAAGGCGAAAUGAAAGUAAAAAGUAGAGUUAUAAAGAAAGGGGGAGUGAUCUCUUUUUUUUUAUACUCUCCUUAAGGGAAGAUGGAAAUCUCUAUUUACAAUUAAUUGUAGUUUACUAUGAUUAUUGUUUAUGGUAAGAUUUCUCGCACUCCCGGGGCGCUUGUUUCACGCAUAGCGUGUCAAUGCGCACCUAGAGCGUACACGCUGAUACCCGAAAGAUGGUGAACUAUGCCUGGCCAGGACGAAGCCAGGGGAAACCCUGGUGGAGGUCCGCAGCGAUUCUGACGUGCAAAUCGAUCGUCGGAGCUGGGUAUAGGGGCGAAAGACCAAUCGAACCAUCUAGUAGCUGGUUCCCUCUGAAGUUUCCCUCAGGAUA